AGCAGUCGCCGCGGGAAUACGUAGGUGGCAAGCGUUGUCCGGAAUUAUUGGGCGUAAAGGGCUCGCAGGCGGUUUCUUAAGUCUGAUGUGAAAGCCCCCGGCUCAACCGGGGAGGGUCAUUGGAAACUGGGAAACUUGAGUGCAGAAGAGGAGAGUGGAAUUCCACGUGUAGCGGUGAAAUGCGUAGAGAUGUGGAGGAACUCCAGUGGCGAAGGCGACUCUCUGGUCUGUAACUGACGCUGAGGAGCGAAAGCGUGGGGAGCGAACAGGAUUAGAUACCCCUGUAGUCCCUGUCUCUUAUAA
rnacentral:rRNA from 1 species